UAACAGCUCACUGGUCUAAAUAAGAGGUUCUGCGGCGAAGAUGUAACGGGGCUAAAGUGAUGCACCGAAGCUUAGGGUGUGGCGUAAGCCACGCGGUAGCGGAGCGUUCCGUAAGCCUGUGAAGCGAUCUGGUAAUGGGUCGUGGAGGUAUCGGAAGUGCGAAUGCAGACAUGAGUAGCGAUAAAAAGGGUGAGAUGCCCUUUCGCCGAAAGACCAAGGGUUCCUGCGCAAGGCUAAUCCGCGCAGGGUGAGCCGGCCCCUAAGACGAGCCCGAAGGGGGUAGUCGAUGGGAACCACGUUAAUAUUCGUGGGCCUGGUGGUGUGUGACGGAUCUCGUGUGUUGUUCUCCCUUAUUGGAUUGGGAGGGCUUCGAAGAGGUUCCAGGAAAUAGCCCCACCGUAUAGACCGUACCCGAAACCGACACAGGUGGUCAGGUAGAGUAUACCAAGGCGCUUGAGAGAAGUGUCCUGAAGGAACUCGGCAAAUUGCCUCCGUACCUUCGGAAGAAGGAGGCCCUCAUUGUGCGCAAGCAUUUUGAGGGGGCACAGGCCAGGGGGUAGCGACUGUUUAGCAAAAACACAGGGCUCUGCUAAGUCGGCUUCAAGACGACGUAUAGGGCCUGACGCCUGCCCGGUGCCUGAAGGUUAAGUGGAGGGGUGCAAGCUCUGAAAUGAAGCCCAGGUAAACGGCGGCCGUAACAAUAACGGUCCUAAGGUAGCGAAAUUCCUUGUCGGGUAAGUUCCGACCUGCACGAAUGGCGUAACGACUUCCCCACUGUCUCCAGGACAUGCUCAGCGAAAUUGAAUUCCCCGUGAAGAUGCGGGGUUCCCGCGGUUAGACGGAAAGACCCCGUGCACCUUUACUGCAGCUUCAGAGUGGCAUUAGGAAAGAACUGUGUAGCAUAGGUGGGAGGCUUUGAAGCGUUGGCGCCAGCUGACGUGGAGCCAUAGGUGAAAUACCACCCUGUUGUUUUCUGAUGUCUAACCUCGAUCCAUGAAACUGGAUCAGGGACCCUCUGUGGCGGGUAGUUUGACUGGGGCGGUCGCCUCCCAAAGAGUAACGGAGGCGUGCGAAGGUA
rnacentral:rRNA from 1 species